CUAUUUGAAAAUUAAUGUAUAGAUUUGGGAAAUAUAUCCCGGUGCAAGGCAUAUGAUAAACUUUAACGCAGAGGACAAUGCUUUCUAAGGAAAUCAGGAUACGAGCCUUGUGUCACUGACAGGAGCUGGUGCAGGUUAAGAAGAAGAAUGAAAAUACAUUAAGCUUGCAGAGAAACCAUCCUUUCUGCAUGGAUGUGAGAGCUUUAGAGCAAGAACAGCUUAGGGGAGAUAAGCCCAGCUCUUAUUCCCAGCAAAAGGAAACUGGAGUUAAGAACAUUUUAUAAGAAUCAGUGUUAAACUAGGUAGGGGUUUACUUGGCCAUCAAGAGUGCAGUUUUCACUUGCACUGAGAGGCCAGACUCAGGGCUCAGAUAGAAAGGAAUGUGCUUCCCUAGUACCCAAGGGAACUGAGAAAGAGAAAUUUAGCAGCUGCUUCAAAUCUUCUUAGUAGCAGUCGGGGUAUAUAGCUAAACUAACCAAACAAAUAAAUGGCUCUGGUUUUGGACUGGCAGUGGAAAGAAGUGAACUAGAAUGGAAACUGGAAACAAUUUAAAAGACAGCUCUGUAUGGGAACAUGAGUGAAAUGGCUUUAUGCAACACAUAUGCUUAUUUGCCUCCUUUGUACCUAAUUUGUACCUAACGAUCUGCUUGGACUAGAUAACCGGUUUAUACACCCUAAAUGGAUGACAGUGAAAUGGAUCUGAAGUGAAAGCGCACACAUCCCAGGGGCAGAGUAUGAGCUCCUCACGGGACUAUGCGUCUUUGAUAAAGGUACCUAGGGACACAUAGGUAGCGUGAAUUUGUGCCUUAAAAUGUAAGAGGACCUGCUUGUUGCAAGAAACUCUCAGGGAAACAUUCCCUACCCACCUGCAUCUAGCCAAAUCCAAGGCUAAACAGCUUUUAUAUACUGACAAAAAAAAUUGGAAAUCACCUGAAUGUUUGCCAGUUGGAAUCUGGGUCUGCGUUUGUAAUAUUUUGCAACUCUUAAGAAGAAACAGAAGAAAGGCUGGCGGCCCCUCCUCUUUCCACCAACCCCAGCAUUCAAUAAACACAGCAGAGCCCACCAUGUUGUUGGAGUCGGGCCUCGCUGGCCGCCCCACAACCCCCACACCCCUUUCCCCUGGAACCCUGAAGAGGUUUCCUCUCUCUUCUCACGGAGACAGAGAGAGAGAGAGAGAGUAUGAGCGGCAGAGAAGGGCAGAAGGA